UUGAGCUCCUGGAGAAGAAAGCUGUUAAAGCUGCAUUCGGCCCAGGCAACAAGGAUGAGAUGGAAUACUCCUACCCAAUCCUCAUCUCAUUCCUGCGCAAUCUUACUGAUGAGCAGUGGCAAGUGAUCUACAAAGGACUAAAAAACCCUAUGACGAAGGAACA